rnacentral:rRNA from 1 species
UAAGUAAGUGGUGGAAAUUAAACCAAAUGGGAUAUCUUUAGUAAUUGCGAAUGAACAAGGAUAUGCUUAGCUUGACAAAUGGAGCUAUUGGCUUUGAAUUGUAUUUGUGGAAUGUAUUACCAACAGAGGUGCAGGUGCCAGCCUAUUAAAUAAAGCGUCAAUGAGGGUGAGAAUCCUGUUUGUCAUGUGCAGCCCUUUGUGCACGGUGUAUAUUUGCUGAGUCACACUCCUUGGCAUUGGAAUGCAAAGUGGGUGGUAAGUUUCAUGUACAGGUAAACAUGCAAUUGAGACUGAUAGCACACAAGUACCAUGAGGGAAAUAUGAAAAGGACUUUGAAAAGAGAAUUAAAUGAGUUUGUAUUUGCUGAACACAAAGUAAACAGACUUGAUUUGCUUGGUGGGAGUGUUGCACUUGCUUGACAAGAGCUUUGGGCUGUGGGUGUAAUGAUUCUUUCUUUGCAUGCCAGUUUCUAUUUGUACAUCUGAUCACCUUUGCACAUGAAUGAUAAGUCUCCUGUGGGGGGUGGAUUGCAUGUGCAUGUAAUGAUUUGUGUUUUGAUAAAUGUGUCUGGUGUAUGUGUGUGUUCCUGUGCUUGGGGAUGCUUCCUUCCUUGGACUUACAAGCCCUGACACACACAUGCUGGCAAAAUGCUUCUGCUUGACCCG